UACGUAGGGGGCAAGCGUUAUCCGGAUUUACUGGGUGUAAAGGGGGCGCAGACGGCGAUGCAAGCCAGGAGUGAAAGCCCGGGGCCCAACCCCGGGACUGCUCUUGGAACUGCGUAGCUGGAGUGCAGGAGGGGCAGGCGGAAUUCCUGGUGUAGCGGUGAAAUGCGUAGAUAUCAGGAGGAACACCGGUGGCGAAGGCGGCCUGCUGGACUGCAACUGACGUUGAGGCCCGAAAGCGUGGGGAGCAAACAGG
rnacentral:rRNA from 1 species